UAGGGAAUAUUGGUUAAUGGGCGAAAGCCCGAACCAGCAACGCCGCGUGUGCGAUGAAGGCCUUCGGGUCGUAAAGCACUUUUAGAGAGGAAGAGGAAGGACGGUACUCUUUGAAUAAGCUUCGGCUAACUACGUGCCAGCAGCCGCGGUAACACGUAGGAAGCGAGCGUUAUCCGGAUUUACUGGGCGUAAAGCGCGUGUAGGCGGUCUGGUUAGUUGGAUGUGAAAGCUCCCGGCUUAACUGGGAGAGGUCGUUCAAUACUGCCAGACUUGAGAGUGGUAGAGGGAGAUGGAAUUCCGGGUGUAGUGGUGAAAUGCGUAGAUAUCCGGAGGAACACCAGUGGCGAAAGCGAUCUCCUGGACCAUUUCUGACGCUCAGACGCGAAAGCUAGGGUAGCAAACGGG
rnacentral:rRNA from 1 species